rnacentral:sRNA from 1 species
AAAAAAAAUACAAAAAC